rnacentral:rRNA from 1 species
CAUGGACGCUGGCGGCAGGCCUAACACAUGCUAGUCGAGCGGAAUGACGGGAGCUUGCUCCUGGAUUCAACGGCGGACGGGUGAGUAAUGCCUAUGAGUCUGCCUGGUAGUGGGGGAUAACGUCCGGCUGCGGACGCUAAUACCGCAUACGUCCUGAGGGAGAAAGUGGGGGAUCUUCGGACCUCACGCUAUCAGAUGAGCCUAGGUCGGAUUAGCUAGUUGGUGGGGUAAAGGCCUACCAAGGCGACGAUCCGUAACUGGUCUGAGAGGAUGAUCAGUCACACUGGAACUGAGACACAGUCCAGACUCAUACGGGAGGCAGCAGUGGGGAAUAUUGUACAAUGGGCGAAAGCCUGAUCCAGCCAUGCCGCGUGUGUGAAGAAGGACUUCGGAUUGUAAAGCACUUUAAGUUGGGAGGAAGGACAGUAAGUUAAUACCUUGCUGUGUUGACGUUACUACACAAUAAGCAACGGCUAACUUCUGCCAGCAACCGCGGGUAAUACAAAAGUGC